GCGUGAGUGAGGAAGGCCUUCGGGUUGUAAAGCUCUUUCACCCACGACGAUGAUGACGGUAGUGGGAGAAGAAGCCCCGGCUAACUUCGUGCCAGCAGCCGCGGUAAUACGAAGGGGGCGAGCGUUGUUCGGAUUUACUGGGCGUAAAGGGCGCGUAGGCGGCUCUAUUUGUCAGGCGUGAAAGCCCUGGGCUCAACCUGGGAAUUGCGCUUGGGACGGUAGGGCUUGAGAUCGGGAGAGGAGAGUGGAAUUCCCAGUGUAGAGGUGAAAUUCGU
rnacentral:rRNA from 1 species